rnacentral:rRNA from 1 species
AAGUGGAUUAGUGGCGCACGGGUGAGUAAUGCAUAGGUUACGUGCCCUUUAGUCUGGGAUAGCCACUGGAAACGGUGAUUAAUACUGGAUACUCCCUACGGGGGAAAGUUUUUCGCUAAAGGAUCAGCCUAUGUCCUAUCAGCUUGUUGGUGAGGUAAUGGCUCACCAAGGCUAUGACGGGUAUCCGGCCUGAGAGGGUGAUCGGACACACUGGAACUGAGACACGGUCCAGACUCCUACGGGAGGCAGCAGUAGGGAAUAUUGCUCAAUGGGGGAAACCCUGAAGCAGCAACGCCGCGUGGAGGAUGAAGGUUUUAGGAUUGUAAACUCCUUUUGUAAGAGAAGAUU